GAGCAGGGGGCGGGCGGACAUCUUGGGAUCCGGAGAGUGGCCGGGCCGGCAGAGCAGGGGGCCGCAGACACCAGGUCUGUUCUCAGAGCGAUGGGCCGCGGAGACUGAUCUGCCGCCAUGAUUGGAGGCUUAUUCAUCUAUAAUCACAAGGGGGAGGUGCUCAUCUCCCGAGUCUACCGAGAUGACAUCGGGAGGAACGCAGUGGAUGCCUUUCGGGUCAAUGUUAUCCAUGCCCGGCAGCAGGUGCGCAGCCCCGUCACCAACAUUGCUCGCACCAGCUUCUUCCACGUUAAGCGGUCCAACAUUUGGCUGGCAGCAGUCACCAAGCAGAAUGUCAACGCUGCCAUGGUCUUCGAAUUCCUCUAUAAGAUGUGUGACGUGAUGGCUGCCUACUUUGGCAAGAUCAGCGAGGAAAACAUCAAGAACAAUUUUGUGCUCAUAUAUGAGCUGCUGGAUGGUGAGGCUGGCGGGCUGGCACAGCAGUGGGCCUAGGGUGGGAAAGAACCAGGCUGGGCCUGGCCUGAAGGUGGGUGUAGGUCCGAGGCUCUGGUACACUCUGAACUUUCUUUCCUGAGUAUCUGGUCUCUUGGGCUAGGAUCUCUAUGCCCCUCAGAAGGCCAGUUCACAUCCAGACCUAAAGGCUGGGCUGAAGUAGAACACAGAAAUAGGCCAGCAGGUGGUCUU
rnacentral:sRNA from 1 species